GUGAGGAAUAUUGGUCAAUGGGAGAGAUCCUGAACCAGCCAAGCCGCGUGAGGGAAGACGGCCCUAUGGGUUGUAAACCUCUUUUGUCGGAGAACAAAACCCGGGACGUGUCCCGGACUGCGUGUAUCCGAAGAAAAAGCAUCGGCUAACUCCGUGCCAGCAGCCGCGGUAAUACGGAGGAUGCGAGCGUUAUCCGGAUUUAUUGGGUUUAAAGGGUGCGUAGGCGGUCCGUUAAGUCAGCGGUAAAAUUGCGGGGCUCAACCCCGUCGAGCCGUUGAAACUGGCAGACUUGAGUUGGCGAGAAGUACGCGGAAUGCGCGGUGUAGCGGUGAAAUGCAUAGAUAUCGCGCAGAACUCCGAUUGCGAAGGCAGCGUACCGGCGCCAGACUGACGCUGAGGCACGAAAGCGUGGGGAUCGAACAGG
rnacentral:rRNA from 2 species